UAACCAAAUGGUGUCCCAUUUCAUAGGGGUAUGUUUUCACCCCUUGCCCUUACCACUCGGUUUUGAGGGCCAAGGGCUAGGAGUAAACUAAGGGGAAGGAAA